CCUCCUUCCCAGCAGCCCUCAACCUCCACUGGAAGAUAGCUAUGGUUGUGGGGCAGUGAACGCCAUCCUCCCCAGCACAGGUGCAGGGAACGCAGGUGCAGCCAAUAGGCCACUCAGUUCACCGGCCACGGUCACUGGUACAGGGCUGCACACGUGACCCCAGGCCUUGCACGUGGAACGCUGGGACGGACACUCCCUGCGUCCUGCGCUGUGUGGUGGCAUUGCAGAUACGGGGCCUGGAGCGACAGCGACCAUUUCUACCAUCCAUCUGUCAUGCCCCCUGGGGCCGAUGCUAAUUCAGAGGAGGCGAGUUGAGAGAAUUGAAAGGAAAGAGCAGUGGAGCCCCAAAACAGUGUGGACCUCACACUCAGAUCGUACCUGAAUUCCGCCCUGUUUUUGGACUCUUCCGGAUCUUUUUAUUUGUCAGAGAGCACAAGAGUGGAGAGCGGCAGGCAGAAGGAGAAGCAGGCUCCCGGCUGAGCAAGGAGCCCGGUGCGGGACUUGAUCCCAGGACACCGGGAUCAUGACCUGAGCCGAAGGCAGAUGCUUAACGGACUGAGCCACCCUCAUUUUCCUGACUAUUAACAGCAUGGACUUUGAACAUCUACCACAAGCCCGGCACCAUUCAAAGUACUGGGAGCACUGCUCUGUGUCAAUAGGAAUGACUUCUGGCAGGAAGUGACCAAAACAUCAAAAGCAACGGCUUACAGCAAAUUUACUUCUUUGAGAGAGAGAAAGAGCAGAGAGGGAGAAAAUCCCAAGCAGACUCCCCACUCAGUGCAGAACUGGACACAGGGGUCGAUCCCACAACCCCGACGUCAUGACCUGAGCCAACACCAAGAGUUGGACAACAUACUGAGCCACCCAAGUGCCUCUACAUUUUCAUUGCUUAAAAAUGUCUUUUUGUGUUUCA
rnacentral:lncRNA from 1 species